rnacentral:lncRNA from 1 species
UAUGAAUUCAAGUCCCCUGGCCCAGAUGAAUGACAUCUUCAGGUUCUGAAAGAACUGACUUAUGUGAAGACUGAGCUACUAUCAGAGAAAGAUCAUAGGAAACAUUAGAGAUACUGUAAGACCAAAGAAGGAAAAAUGUCCUGAUUUUCAAAAAGGGGAGGAGAGCAGAGCCAGAAGGCUUUAGGCCAAUGAACUUGCCUCCAAUUCACAGGCGAAUGGAUCAUUAAGGACAUUGGCCAACAUCUAGAAAGACUCAUUUCCUCAUGCCCCCUACCACCAAAAGAGCACUCCUUUGGAACAAAGAAAGACGGUUCAGCAAACCCAGUCAACAUGGUGGCCAUGUCCAAUAAUGCAUGCAGCAUUCUGAACCAGCAAUUCCCCACUUUUCUAUUGAAAAGA